CUGCUAUAAAGAACGAGGUAGAACAGGUGCAAAUGAUACAGAGAAGAUUAGCAUGGCCACUGUGCAAGCAUAACAUGCAGAUUCAUGAAGUAUUCCAUAUUUUU
ensembl:snRNA U6 U6 spliceosomal RNA